AAUCAGACCAAGAAAAACUUCAAAAACUCAAACCAUCUCCUCUCUUUUUCUUCCCCAUUACACCAAUUUUUCCAGUAAGUAUAUAUAAGGAAGGAAUUAAUUGGAGAACAAGCAAUUCAAAAGCCAAUCCUUCAGAUCAAAUCACACCAAAUUCUUCUCUCUUGUUUCUCUCUCAUUACCCCACAUACUCUCCUUCUUAACAAAAAACAUUUAAAAAAAUCUAAAACCAAACAAAAAAAAAAUUUAAAACUUUAUCAAAAUCAAAACUUUAAAAGCUUGAAAGUUGAAUCAAUCUCCUCUUAUAAACAUAUUGUCUACAAAAUUUUACAUUUUCUUGUUCUCAAUUUGGUCAAAUAAAAAAAAACAUAGUGGGAACACAAAAGUAAGAGGGUAAUAUAGAGGGGGCAUGUUGUACUGCCUCCUCUGUAGAUCUUGUUGAUUUUUUCAUUUGGGUGUUUUCAAAAGGCAGAAUCUUGAUUUGGGUAUUUCUUAUUUUUCUCAAAAGUUUUUUAAGUUUGAUGAAAUAUUUUCAUUGUUGGGUUGCUAUAUGCUUGAGCUCUUACCUUUGGAUUCUUGUUUGAUUGAUUUUUUAAGGAUCAGAUUCCUAUUUGAUUGAAUCUGAUAAUAUUUUGAUCAGUUUCAAAUUGUUGUCUGUUUGUGAGGCUCUCUUAAUACUACUUCAUAGUAAAGGAAAAUGCAAUCUGAGCUAGGCAAGUUAUUUGUUGGCGGGAUUUCAUGGGACACAGACGAAGAGCGUCUAAAGGAGUAUUUUAGUACUUAUGGGGAGGUUAUAGAAGCUGUAAUCAUGAAGGAUAGGACUACUGGCCGUGCUCGUGGUUUUGGUUUUGUGGUCUUUGCUGAUCCUGCUGUUGCUGAGAGGGUAGUUAAGGAGAAACACAACAUUGAUGGAAGGAUGGUUGAAGCAAAGAAGGCGGUUCCACGGGAUGACCAGAGCACAACAAGUAGAAGCAGUACUAGUAUUCAUGGUUCUCCUAGCCCUGGUCCGGGUCGUACAAGAAAGCUUUUUGUUGGAGGUUUGGCGUCCACUGUUACUGAGAGCGACUUUAAGAAGUAUUUUGAGCAGUUUGGAACAAUUACAGAUGCUGUAGUUAUGUAUGAUCAUAACACUCAAAGACCUAGAGGCUUUGGAUUCAUUACUUAUGAUUCAGAGGAUGCAGUAGAUAGAGUCUUGCUCAAGACUUUCCACGAGCUGAAUGAUAAAAUGGUUGAGGUCAAGCGUGCUGUCCCUAAAGAGUUAUCCCCAGGUCCUAGCCAAAGCCCGCUCGAUCGGUACGGCUAUGGAUUAAAUAGGAUGAAUAACUUCCUUGAUAGUAGAUUUAGUCCGAUUGCUGGAGGUAGGAGCGCCUUUACGCCAUUUGCUUCUGGUUAUGGUAUCGGUCUUAACUUUGAGCCAGGCCUGAACCCGGGAUACGGGGGAAGUGCAAACAUUAACAGUAGUUUAAGCUAUGGACGGGGACUGAAUCCAUAUUAUAGCUCAAACAGAUUUGGUGGUGGCACUGGGUUUGAUGGAGUUAAUGGAGGAAACACUUUGUCCUUAAGCUCAGCAACUCGCAAUUUAUGGGUCGAUGGAGGACUACGUAAUGCAACAAACUCCCCGAGCUCUAGAAAUUUUAUAGUAUCUGGAAGCGGGAACAUUGUAGGAGGAAACUUUAACAACAGUGGAGUUUGGGGUUCAUCUUCACUUUCCUCUCAAGGUGGAGGAAAUGUUAUUAGCAAAAAUGGAAAUCUUGGCUAUGGGAAUGGUGAUGACAUGUAUGGGCUGCCAGGAGGCUAUGGCGGACGUGUCAGAAAAAGUGUGGGUCCUAUAACAUCAUAUGCUGCAUCUAGUGUUGGUUAUGGUGUGGGGGAUUUAGCUGAUUUCUACGGUAGUGGUUUGGGAUAUGAUGAGCGCACUUGGCGUUCUGAGCAGGAUGCAACUGGUUCUCUUGGUUAUGGACUAGGCAAUGGACGCUCUGACAUGUCAUCUCAAAGUUCUGCAGAUUAUUUAGGUACUUAUGGAGUUAGCAAAAGACAACCAAACAGAGUUGCAAACAUGUGAGGUGGCUUCCAAGUCCGAAAUGUGGUCCACCUUAACCCCACCAACCUUGCUUACCUCGAAAAUGGUCAGGAAUUGGUGACUAGGAGAAAAUAUCAGAAACAAAGGGUGAUAUAGGAGGCGAAUUUUUUUGUACAAGUUGAAUCCUGAAUUUUGCAUAUUCCACAAUUACAUGAAGUUGAAAGGUUAAAGAAUCCGAGUUCCUUUUUACUUAAUCAAAAAAGAAAAAAAAAAGAAUUGGAGUCCCUUUUGUAGGGCACCCGAGUGCCUGUUUUCGGUCUAGAGAUAGUACUUUGCAAGAGACUGUUUAAAAGGAUUUUGUUUUGAGUUAUGUUUUAGAAAUUCCCUUUUGUCCCUCGAGUGAGGUGUAAAAUCGGAUUGCAGCUGCAGCGAUACAUACAAAGGAAAUAUACAAUUUUUUGCACAAAAUUUGUAUUCCAUGUUUUUGCUGCAACACAGCUGCAAAGUUGCAGAUUCUUGGCUGCUACUAUUAUUGUUUUAUAGUUUGUAGUUAACUUCAACAGGAUUUUCCUUUUCAUUUGAUUGUAGGUGAGGUUGAUUUAAUAUGAAAUAUGUAGGGAUACCCAUAUAGGGUAUCCAAAUGAACAAAUUUACAUAUUUAGAUUGCUUUACAUUUCUUGAUAUCUAUAUACUAAGUGGAAAAAAUUGUUGCACUGGGGAA